UGGGGAAUAUUGCACAAUGGGCGCAAGCCUGAUGCAGCCAUGCCGCGUGUAUGAAGAAGGCCUUCGGGUUGUAAAGUACUUUCAGCGGGGAGGAAGGUGUUGAGGCUAAUAACCUCAGCAAUUGACGUUACCCGCAGAAGAAGCACCGGCUAACUCCGUGCCAGCAGCCGCGGUAAUACGGAGGGUGCAAGCGUUAAUCGGAAUUACUGGGCGUAAAGUGCACGCAGGCGGUCUGUCAAGUCGGAUGUGAAAUCCCCGGGCUCAACCUGGGAACUGCAUUCGAAACUGGCAGGCUAGAGUCUUGUAGAGGGGGGUAGAAUUCCAGGUGUAGCGGUGAAAUGCGUAGAGAUCUGGAGGAAUACCGGUGGCGAAGGCGGCCCCCUGGACAAAGACUGACGCUCAGGUGCGAAAGCGUGGGGAGCAAACA
rnacentral:rRNA from 1 species